UCUUCACUUGCAGGUGCAAGGAUCACA
rnacentral:snRNA from 1 species